GAAGUCAGUUAGGCAGCCGCUGUUUGAUUGUUAAUCAACAGAGGAAAGUCCGGGCUCCGCAGAGCAAGAUGCUGGCUAACGGCCAGACGCCGUGAGGCGAUGGAAAGUGGCACAGAAAGCGAUACCGCCGAUGACCAGUGAUGGUACAGGUAAGGGUGAAAAGGUGUGGUAAGAGCACACCGCGGGUGCGGUGACGCAUCCGGCAGGCUAAACCCCAUCUGGAGCAAGACCAAACAGAAAACUUGAGCGUGGCUCGCGCUGUUUUCGGGUAGGUCGCUUGAGUAAACGGGUAACGGUUUACCUAGAGGAAUGGCUGCCCUAGACAGAACCCGGCUUAUCGACUGGCUUCUUAC
rnacentral:RNase_P_RNA from 1 species